rnacentral:rRNA from 1 species
UGGGGAAUCUUGCACAAUGGGGGCAACCCUGAUGCAGCGACGCCGCGUGAGCGAUGAAGCCCUUCGGGGCGUAAAGCUCUUUCGACCGGAACGAUAAUGACGGUACCGGGAGAAGAAGCUGCGGCUAACUACGUGCCAGCAGCCGCGGUAAUACGUAGGCAGCAAGCGUUGUUCGGAGUUACUGGGCGUAAAGAGUGCGUAGGCGGUUUUCUAAGUUCGGUGUGAAAUCACCCGGCUUAACUGGGAGGGUGCGCCGAAGACUGGGAAGCUGGAGUGUGGGAAAGGCAGGCGGAAUUCCUGGUGUAGCGGUGAAAUGCGUAGAUAUCAGGAGGAACACCGGCGGUGUAGACGGCUUGCUAGACCAUAACUGACGCUGAGGCACGAAAGCGUGGGUAGCAAACA